UACAGAGGGUGCGAGCGUUUAAUCGGAAUUACUGGGCGUAAAGCGUGCGCAGACGGUUGCGUAAGUCAGAUGUGAAAGCCCCGGGCUCAACCUGGGAAUUGCAUUUGAGACUGCGUAGCUAGGGUGCGGAAGAGGGAAGCGGAAUUUCCGGUGUAGCGGUGAAAUGCGUAGAUAUCGGAAGGAACACCAGUGGCGAAAGCGGCUUCCUGGUCCAGCACCGACGUUCAGGCACGAAAGCGUGGGGAGCAAACAGG
rnacentral:rRNA from 1 species